UACACCCUAAUUAUUGACAUUUUUUCCUUCUCCCUCCCGACAUUGGACAUUGACUGCCGCCUACUUCUUCCCUCGCACUUCGACCAUCAUUACUUUCCAUUCCCGGUCAUCGACGUCGAUCAAGACAAGCAGGCCACCAGCCGACAACCUUCACUCUCUCCUUCUCCUUUUCUAUGUAAACCCUAAUCCGCCUCCACCACUACCGAAUCUACCUCAACUCACCUCUGACCUCGGCUCAUCUCUUUUCGAUCGUUGCUAAUGAACCUAUUUUGUGUUUAAUUUGGUUGCAAAUCGCGAUUUUGUACACCGGAAGCCUAGAUGAUAGGUCCGAUGCGGCGUCGCUUGUCUCACUUACAGGAGACAACGAUCGGUAUGGGAAGAUGAUAAUUAAAGAAGGCGGAGUCAAUCUGUUGCUGAAAUUGGUGAAAGAAGGGAAACCAGUAGGUCACGAGAACGCUGUAUCUGUAAUCGAAUUCCUAGGUCGUGAUCCUGACAGCGUUGAACGCCGGUGUAUGCUCCUUGUUUGUUAAAAUUCUCAAAGAAGGUCCCAUGAAAGUGCAAGCAGUUGUCUCCUGGGCUGUAGCGUUCGAUUAACACAAUUCAUCAAACCCUAGAAUCGUAAAGGAAACCUAGCCUCCGUAGCUUUCUUCACACUUCACCUCCUCAAAGAUCUAUCGCAUCAUAACUAGAACCGUGCUUCAGCAACUAAAAGAGUUCUUGGAUCAGUCGCCAUCUCGAAGAAGACAGAGGAAACCAUGGAUCUUGGUUCAUUGCUUUGGCCUGUAACCAAGCCUCGAUUACAGUUGUACUUCUUGUGUGGACUCGUGUACUCAACCAUCACCCCCAUUCUCCUUCCAUUCAUCAUCGUCUUCUUUGAGUUUGCUUAUAUGUUUUUUCCUCAUCAGGUUAAAUAAGAAAAUGAUGUAAAUAUUGAUUGUAAGCUUCUAUCCCAUUUGGAGCUGGACACAUACUGGUGGAGCAUUAUGCUAGUUGUUUCAUUUACUUGCAUGGCUGAUAAAUGAAUUACAAAAAUAAUUCCAAUUGUCAAACAAUUAUCAAAGUCUCAUUAAAUUGAUGGCCUUAUCAUGACAUUCUACUUCCACAUUCAUUGUCAAGAAGAUGUCAAGUCAGCUAAGAAACUCUCUUUUAUUGUGAUCUCUUUUCUGUAGGAACCUCUUCGUAAGAAAAUGUUAAGUCAGCUAAGAAACUCUCUACAGGGUUUAAAUAUUGCAAGUGAAUCCCUUGAACAUGCCAUGCAACGUGUUAUUGAUGACAACCUUGAGUUGGGUUGUGCAUCAAUUGAAAAAGCUGCAAUUGAAACCGUUUUAAUUUCUUAAUCCUUUUGUUGGUGUUAUAUACAUUCAUUUUUUUGCAUCUUAUGUUUAUAUCGAUGCACGUGUCAUACAGGGGCUAGUAAUAGUAAAAAAUGAAAUUGCUCAGCAACUUUCAGUUAGAAGGAAGCAAGGAGAAAGUUCUAGAACUACAACAAUUGAUCCAAACUUAUCUACAUAAAGUAUAGGUGCUUUUCCUUAUCAAUUCUUUCAACUUGAAAUUUUCAUUGGUAAAGAUGCUAAACAAGCUGAAAUUCAGGUAUUCUAUCUUCAUUUUUAAUAAAUUAAAUCAAACUUUUCAUUACUUGUGUAUAACGGAUCAUUUUUUAAACUGUAACCAAAGUAAGUAUCCUAAAUCUGCAUACCAAAAUCAUUUUCUUCCUUCAUUCUUGUUCAUAUUAAUAUUUUUAAUGUAGCAAUGAAAUAUAAAUAACAAAACAAGAGGAUGGUUGUUUGGUUGUUUUCAGUCUGUUAUUUGUGAGGUUCUUGUGGUUGUUCUUAGAUGCAUCAACAAGGAUGAGGCUGCUUUGGCUAUGGCUCAAAUGGUUUUCGAGAGUUUAUAUGAAAAUGCAGCCAACUAUGUACAUGUCAAUGCUGACCUUGACAUCUUAGUUGGUAUGUGUGAUGUUAGCAAGCUUGUGAGGAGGGAAAUCACUAGUUGGGUAGUGCAUUCUGAUGAUGAGAGGAGAUUCAACAAAGAUAUUACAUUUGGCCUAAGUCAUAGGGAAUUACUGAACCUCACUGAGUAUGAUGCUUACAUGGCCAAACUUAUUGAUGGAGGAAAGAGUGCAUCUUGUGGCUAGCAAGGAUGAUGACGGGGCAUUUAUAUCUUCUGAACCAGAUCCUCCUAGUUUCCUUUGGCAGGUUUCUACAAUGUUCAAUGAGUGGUGUCGGAUACGUGAUCGCUAGCGGUGAGAAUGACACCUGAAGAAGCAGUUGAAGAAAUACUUCAGCCAAAGCAUCAAAGGUUUCCAAGAAGGAGAUAAUGGCAAACUCUUUUGCUGAUCCUGAAAAGUGUAUUCAAGAGAUAGUAGAGAAAGCAUCAACCAUUGUUCUUUCCGAGAUGAAACACGAAAACAUUAAGCAACAUGGGCAUGUCGAUGGGGAACAACUGGUAUCCAGCCAUCUAAAGAAGAAUCUUAGUUUGGAGCUGAAAAACCUAGUUGUUUUGACAGCAAAAUUCAGAAUAUUUAUCUAUCACAUGACCUACAAGUUUCUUUCCUUUCUAACACCCCCUCAAACUCAAGAGGGUUGCAUUUGUCACAUGACCAAAUCCAAAUUGUGUUUAUCAAACAAAAUAUCUCUCAUACUUCAUAUUCAUUGGAAGAGUUGGGAAAGCAAUUUUUGAUGGUUAAUUGCUUGAUGUUCAUUUCAAAAGAUCUUUCUAUAAGCAUAUGAUUGGAGUAAAAUUAACCUACCAUGACAUUGAAGCUAUCGAUCCAUGUUACUUCAAAAACUUGAAGUGGAUGCUUGAGAACAAUAUCAAUGAUAUUUUAGAUCUUACAUUUAGUAUCGAUGCUGAUGAAGAGAAGCUCAUCUUAUGUGAAAAAACAGAAGUAUGCUAUAUGUGGGGAUUUAACGCUGAAAAAGAUAGUAGCUACAAGACCAUCUACUAAAGCAAGGUUGGUGUAAGAGUUGAUGACGAGAACAUUGUUCCAAGACCUUUAGUGAGUUAUGAUGAUGUCCCUAAUAGCAAUGUAGUAUUAGGUUAUAUAGUUAGGGAUGAUUAUUUGUAUUUGACAUGUUAGUGCAAUGAAUUAUCUUUCUUAUUUAUUGUAUUUUAUUUUGUAUUUUGUAUGAUAUUAACUUUUG